AUCUUCCCAAAGUUUUUAUGUUUCUCCUAUUUUUUUUUUCUUGUAUGUGUGUGUCUUGUUUAACUGGCACCCUAAAUGGGUGCUCAGGUGAUUUGGUCAUUGGUAUUAACAUGGGAACAGAAAAAUGAGUGCACUUUUGUUACUCUGCUUGGCAUUGGGGUUGGAAGCAAGUGAGGCAGUGGAGAGAGGGUAAUUGAAAGAAAGCUGAUGAAGUAAUGGACUACAGGGGGUCUCUACUGGAUAAAGAAGGGAGGAUAAGUAGAAAUAACAUUUAGAAAAUCUAGGCAGGGGUAGGAUAAUAUUGAAAACAUUGAACAAUCAGUGUGAUACAGAUUUCAACCAAUUUAAGAAGUUGCUGCCCCUCAGAAUUGAUUAACUAGUAAAGAGAAGCUGGCAG
rnacentral:lncRNA from 1 species